rnacentral:rRNA from 1 species
UACGGAGGAGGCAAGCGUUGUCCGGAAUUACUGGGCGUAAAGCGCGUGUAGGUGGUGGGACAAGUCUGCUGUGAAAGCGCCUGGCUUAACCGGGCGAGGUCGGCGGAAACUGUCACACUUGAGGACGGUAGAGGGGGGUGGAAUUCCCGGUGUAGUGGUGAAAUGCGUAGAGAUCGGGAGGAACACCUGUGGCGAAGGCGGCCCCCUGGGCCGGGCCUGACACUGAGACGCGAAGGCGUGGGGAGCGAACGGG